GUUUCCUCCAAGUCAAUCUCAUGCUAAUGUUUUUCCAUUACAGCAUCGUAUUAACCAGAAGCUGCAUUUACCUGGACCAUACAUCAGCCCGAGCCUGUCUCCAGUGAAGAGUUGUGUCGUGCUGGAGGGACCAUUCAUCACACCUGCCCAGCUUCUGGAGGCUCUCCUGGGCUUUGGUGUCUUAGAUCUCUCAGCCUUUUGGAAAGGCUGCCUUGAAUUAUUCAACCUGCAGUACAGAUCUCUGGAGAACAUAGCCUCACAGCUACUUUAAUCACUAGAAAGGUUCGGAGUCAGUUAUAAUCAGCUGGAGUCAAUGUGGAAAUGCUCAUCUCUGGCUUGAAAAUAAGAUCAAAAGGAAGACCAAGGAGGAGAUAAAAUCUGAGAUGAGAAAUGGAUGUUGGUUUCCAGAAGUUCUUAGGUCUUUCUCCUAUUUCCAAAGGGGGUCACAGAUCUGAAGCCCCAGCCCCUGGGAACUCUGCUUCCCUUGAGGCACACUACUGUGGAUUUCUCUGACCUUUUCUUAUGACAUUGGGAAGCCAGUCACACCUCUGCCAAUUCAGGGACAAGUUGAGUGAGACGGGACCUCUCUCUGAUGGAGGUUUGGUGGACAGCUGUUAUCUUCUAAGCUUGUGUUAGAGCUGGGCAAAGAGGAAGCUGCUCAGGAUUGGAAGGUGGGAGAGAAGCAUCAGCCAUCACUCUCUGAGGUCGCCACAGUCAGAUGGAGUGACAGAUGAAGAGAUGCCUGGUGGGUCCCAGCUUGUCCUCGUUCUUCUCCCUUUGCCUCCAGCUCUUCUCCCUGGCUACCUACCCUGUUGGCCAAUGGCGGCUCAUGCUCAUCACCAGGCAUGUGGCUGCAGACACACGGAGGUGGGAGCCAUGCAGAGGCACCGGCUCUUCACAACCCUCUCUGCCAGCACCCGUUUCAGGGUCCUCCUUUGAUGUUGGGUGUGCUUGGCUUCUCCAAGUGACAGGUUAGUGCCUCCCCUGGGCCUCCAUCUGAUCUUCUGGACCUUUGCUUCCGCAGCUUCCCUCAAUUAUGCAAAUUCUAGGUCUGAUUCCUAGAAUAAAUACUGGAUCUCAAAGCACUCACAGGAUUCUGCUCCCCUGGCUGAACUCUGGUGGAAAUGAUGUCAUGUGACUUCGAAACUAGGCCUUAAGAGUCCUUGCAGUUUUCCCUGUCCUGAGGCCACAUCAUGCUGUGAAAAAACCCAACUUAGCAGAGGCUGAGAAGUUACACGGAGGAGAAUGGAAGAGCCCUGGUCAAUACACACAACUGUGAAAAAAAUAACUCACUGUAGACAUUUUUUUUAGGCUGAGAAAAUAUUUUUCUAUUAAUUGGUUGAUCUGUCAUUAUAUUCCAUUGCAUAGUCAGUGAUAAUAUACUAAGUAAAGUUUAGUGUAACCAUAUUAGAAUAAUCUAAAUUUGAAGAUAUUUAUUAGCUUUAUUAACUUAUACAAAAUAAAAUUCACUGCUUUUUUAUCGUGGUAAAAUAUAGACAACAUACAAUUAACCAUUUCAGCUACUUUUAGGUGUGCAGGUCAGUGGCAUUAGGUACAGUCACAUUGUUGUAUAAACAUCAUCACUAUCCACCUCCAGAACUUUUUCAUCAUUCCAGACAGAAACUCUGUAGCCAUUACACAACAAUUCCCCAUUCCCCCACCCCUUAGUGUAGGUUUUUUUUUCCCCAUUUUUUUUUGAGAAAGGGUCUCACUCUCUCACCUAGGCUGGAGUGCAGUGGCAGGAUCAUGCUCACUGUAACCUCCAACUCCUGGGUUCAAGUGAUCCUCCCACCUCAGCCUCCUGAGUAGCUAGGACUACAGACGUGUGCCACCAAGCCUAGCUUUUUAUUUUAUUUUUUGUAGAGAUGGGAAGGAGGCUGGCUAUGUUGCCCAGGUGCCCUCAGUGUAGUUUUAGGCCACUAAAUUUUGGGGUACGUUGUUACACAGCCGUAGAUAACUGAACAUUCAUACUUGGUGAGGUCAUAUGCUCUAAUUUUCUAGUUUAAAAAAUAGUUUCUCAGGCAAAACUAUGGAGAUGGUAAAAAGAUUUGUGUUUGCCAGGGGUUCUUGGGGUAAGGGUGGGAAGGUAUGAGUAGGUAGAGCAUAGAAGAUCUUUAGGGCAGUGAAAAUGCUCUGUAUGAUACUAUAAUGGGGAUACCCAGAGAGAACCAUGAUGCAAACUAUGGACUGUGGACUCUGGGUGGUGAUGAUGUUUCAUUGUAGGUUCAUCAAUGGUAACAAAUUCUUUUAUACCAAAUGAGUUACAGAGGAAUGCUGGUCUAACAGAGGAGAAAGGUGCCCAGAGAGAGGGUCCUAGGAAAAGCAUCUGCAGAGGGAGUUGGGUCCAGCCCUCUUAGCUUUGGGGAGGACAAGAUAAGUAAACACAAGGAUUCACUAACCCAUUCAUUCACCAUUGCCUUGCACAAUGUUUGUUUCAUUCUUAGCUAUUUGCAGGGUACUUACUGAGCUCAGAGUCUCCUGGUGCUCUAGUGGGGGGCAUUGAUAAUGGGGGAGGCCAGGCAUGUGUGGGGCAGAAGGCAUAUGGGAAAUCUCUGUACCUUCCUCUCAACUUG
rnacentral:lncRNA from 1 species